GGAAAACAAAAUAAUCAGUUUUCACGCAAGAGUUACAAGAUUACAAGGAUCUGGUUCGAAUAAAUCAAAAUGCCAAAGACCAAAAAACUAAAACAACAAUAAUCAGUUUCACCCAAAGUAGAAAUCAACUUAAAGAUAAGGUAUAAAAGAAGUAAAUCAAUGGUUUUAGCUAUUUCAUGAGUUCCGAGUCCGAUUCUGACUCGAGCCACCACCACUUCUCUGACCUCGAUCCGAAGCCAUAGAAAUGAAAGAGCGACAAGUAGCAGAGAAGAGUGGAAGGCAGAAGCCCUCGGGGUGGGCAUGAGAGAUCUGGAAAGCCCAAGCCAUAGAAAGAGAUCUGGGGUUUAGGAUUUUGGAUGGUAGUUGUAUUGGGAGCG
rnacentral:lncRNA from 1 species